GCCAGGGAACCAGAGAUCAGCCAGGUAGCCCAACGCCUUUUGUAAUUAUGCAAACUAGACAAUCACCAAUGGUUCACUCCAUCUGCCUUACCUUUCCUUCGGAAACCUCAAUAAAGGCAGUGGCCUAACUCUUCCCCUAGCUCCUGUCUUCUGCCUCCUGACUACCACGGUGUCUUUCCCAUGUGAACUCAGGUGGCAUUUUGUGCCUCUAGGACCUAAUGAAUACUCUAGUGAGCACUGUGGAGGUUAUACAAGGAUAGAAUGAAACUUUGAGGAGGUCCAAUCAGAAAGCUAUUAUAAUAAUCCAGGGCAGCAUGCAACUGACAAGAAGAACAACAAAGAAGGGUCCAAGGGAUCCAUGUGCAGAACAGGAAAGGAUUGUUUAGCUGACAUGGAAGAUUCAAUAUCUGAACAAGGAGUUCUAAAUAAUUCUCUGCACCUUAGUCUGCCAAUACUCAUUCUAAAACUACACAAAGGAGAUUCAAAAUAAAAAGAGGAUGAUAAACGGCAAAACCAUCUGAGACUUUAGGAAUUAUUGACAAAAGGAGUAAGAAUGUGGAGAGAAUUACAUAGCUGCAAAGAAUGUUUGUCAUAGCUGCAAUGGGAGUAAGAAGACAUUGAAGGACAUUGAAUAGAAAGUAGAAACACUUUACAUCAAAAGGAAAGAAAUUCAUACUAUACUUUUAACAAUUUUAUCAACCCGCUUAUUGAUUGUAUUAGUUUGCUAGGACUGCCAUGAUAAAAUACAAUAGUCUAGGUGGCUUAAAUAACAGAAAUAAAUUUUCUUACAGUUGUGGAGGCUAUACAUCCAAAAUCAAGGUGUCAUCAAUGUUGGUUUUUGGUGAGACCUUUCUUCUUGGCUUAUGUCC
rnacentral:lncRNA from 10 species